GCCGCGGUAGCUCAGUGGUAGAGCGAAGGACUGAAAAUCCUUGCGUUGGCAGUUCGAUUCUGCCCUGCGGCA
rnacentral:tRNA from 2 species